UGAAAAACAAUUAAACAUGAUACAAACAUUUAACAGUAAUGAUAUAACUGAAGCUUUUAUGAACUAGACCAACAGAUCGUGGAGAUAUGAAGGGCACAAAUAGAGUUUACAACACUGGAAGCAUUAAAAUGUUACAUGAAAUUCAACUCAACUCAACAAAUUCUUUUUAUCCCAAGCUAGUUAUUUCAACCGACCCUGCAUUUCAAAAUUUCAAUACAAGAUAAGUCCAAAUCAGAUUCAACUGGUUUUACAAAUUUUCUUAUUAACUAAACUUUAAAAUAUAACUAGACAUACGGAUUAAGGGGAUCAAUAACAUUUGUUUUUAAUUUUAGAAGUACAUUUGUGUAUCUAGGGAAGUGAAAGACAUAAUGAUCUCACUACUCACUCUGAACUUAUG
rnacentral:lncRNA from 1 species